rnacentral:rRNA from 1 species
AUUGAACGCUGGCGGCAGGCCUAACACAUGCAAGUCGAACGAGUGGCGGACGGGUGAGUAAUGUCUGGGAAACUGCCCGAUGGAGGGGGAUAACUACUGGAAACGGUGGCUAAUACCGCAUACCAUCGGAUGUGCCCGGAUUGGAUUAGCUAGGAGGUGGGGAAAAGGCUCACCUAGGCGACGAUCCCUAGCUGGUCUGAGAGGAUGACCAGCCACACUGGAACUGAGACACGGUCCAGACUCCUACGGGAGGCAGCAGUGGGGAAUAUUGCACAAUGGGCGCAAGCCUGAUGCAGCCAUGCCGCGUGUAUGAAGAAGGUCUUCGGGUUGUAAAGUACUUUCAGCGGGGAGGCGUUACCCGCAGAAGAAGCACCGGCUAACUCCGUGCCAGCAGCCGCGGUAAUAC